rnacentral:lncRNA from 1 species
GUAAGAUGGCCCCAGCAAAGCUGGUUGGGGGCCUGUUCUCAGGGUCCUGAUAGGCUGGGCUCUGGACCCUGGUGUGGGUGGGGUAGUGAAAAUGGAGGGGAAGAAAAACGGUGAGAAGCAGCUCAGAGGAGACUCUGGAUUUUAGUGACUUUCUGGUCACGGGGAACAUCCAAGUGGGAGGAAGGAAGAGCUCCAAGUGGGUCAUAAAUCGCAGUCACUCAGCCUUGGGGGGCUGCCGGGCCCCGCGGAGGCAGCGCAGCCCCGCGCGGAGCAGCACGCGGGAACGGAGCAGCUCGCAGGCCCGCUGUUCAAGCUGGCUGAGUCUCCCGCCCCCCCCCCCCCCCCCCCCCCCCCCGUAAUAGGUCCCUUCAAGUCCCUGCACGGUUAUUAAUAGACGCGUGCUGGGCAGCUGUCCCGCACAUCCGGGGAAGACAGCACCCCCGAAGCCGGCCGGGCACCUCCGCCGCGCAGCAGGCGGGCGGACUCCCGGGGGCAGAGGCAUAUAAAGGCUCUUUUGUGGUCUCCCAACUGCCCUCUCCCCUCCUCUUUGUUUUUGGCAUCUGUCAUUAUGCCCCGCAAACCACAGCCAGGCCUCCUGACGGCACCAAUAUCUGCUUUCCUGCCGCCUCGGAAGAGUAAGGCCCGAGAAUCCUCUGUUCUGCAAGGAGGCGUGCCCAUCUCUGUGCUGGAUUCAGCUGGAAAAAUCAGAACAAUUCCCAUUAUUUUCGGUUCCCAGACCUUGAAUGUGUCAGGCUUCAGGUUCACUUCCUACAUCUCUCCCGUCGCCCGGAUCUGCAAGUAAUUUAACCUUGUUUUCAUAGAGCGCAAAGACGUUCCGCUUGUUUACACUGGAGACAAAUUUUCCUCAAUUGACGCAAUCCUAUUGAUUAAAUAAUGACUUUCUUCCUCAUUUAAAGGUAAUUUCGGUUGGUAUCAUGACAUGGAGGAGGGAAGUGAAUGCCUUUUCUGUCCUGCUGUAUGAAGGGCAGGCUGUGAGGGCUGAGACCCACCGCUCCGGGCAGGGCCUUCUCGUUUUUCUCACCUGUUUGAGGGGGCCUCCAUAGGCGGUUGCCUGAGGCUGGUGCCAGGAGCCUCUGAGGAGGUUGGCUAAACACGGGCAGAUCUUGAUUAGGGACAUUAAAGAGCCUGUAUUUACUCGGGAAUGGACAUUGGGGCAGAGUAGAUGCUCUUUUGUUUUAAAAAUGGAUGUGAGGGGAGUUGAGGGGUUGGUGAAAUGGGUGAAGGGAUUCAAAAGGCACAAACUUCCAGUUAUAAAAUAUAUAAGUCAGGGGGAUGUAAUGUACAGCAUGGUGCUAUAGUUGAUAAUAUUGUAUUGCAUAUUUGAAAGAUGCUGAGAGACUAAAUCAUAAAAGUUCUCAUCACAGGAAAAAAAAUGUUUAUAACCACGUAUGGGGAGUGAGCUUAACUAGACUUACUGUGGUCAUCGUUUUACAAUAUAUACACAUAUUGAAUCAGAAUGUUGUACACCUGAAACCAAUAUAAUGUUAUAUGUCAAUUAUACCUCAAUUUAAAAAAAAUGGAUUUGAUUUGCUUUCAAGGUUAUUAACAUCUAAUAAACUAGGACCUGCACAUAAAUGGUUUUUCA